rnacentral:rRNA from 1 species
GACGGAGGGGGCAAGCGUUGUUCGGAAUUACUGGGCGUAAAGCGCACGUAGGCGGCUUUGUAAGUUAGAGGUGAAAGCCCGGGGCUCAACUCCGGAAUUGCCUUUAAGACUGCAUCGCUAGAAUUGUGGAGAGGUAAGUGGAAUUCCGAGUGUAGAGGUGAAAUUCGUAGAUAUUCGGAAGAACACCAGUGGCGAAGGCGACUUACUGGACACAUAUUGACGCUGAGGUGCGAAAGCGUGGGGAGCAAACAGG